rnacentral:lncRNA from 1 species
AAAACUCAAGCUACGUAAAAUUUUUUAUAUUUUUUCAGUGAAGCAAAUAAAUAUAGAUUUUUUGCUUUCAACUAAACAAAUUUUGAUGAAAAACUAAUUUUUUCUACAAACGAAAGACUACAAAAUGUAAAAUUUUUAUUCCACUAAAAGUUAAUUUACGAAAAAUUAUUUUUCACAAUUUUACUAUAACUAAACAUAAAUUAUUUUACGAAAAAUUAAUUUUCAUAAUUUUACUUAUAGCCAAACAUUUCUUAGUAUCGAUAAAUCUGUCACGACUAUUCGUUUCGUUUAUUUUUUAUAAAAUAAAAUUAAUUUAAAAUAUAAAAUAAUUAAAUUUUAAAUAUAAAAUUUUAAAUACCAAUCGUCAAAGUGCUGUGACUGAAGAU